CAGUGUCUUCUAGGAUUAUUAUGGAUUCAUGAGUCACAUGGUCUCUCUGUGUUUGUAGCAGGAGGAAUGGCUGAGUUAACUCAGUCCACCAUGUUGCCAGAAGUCAAGCCCACUUACUUGCUUCUGGAAAUUGAACUUUACCUUCCAUGGACCCAGUCAUUGAUGGGGUCUUGCUCUGAGCCAGCUGAUAAACUGGAACUUCAGCACUGCUGUCUACUAACUUAGAGCAUCAUUCCACUUAGGACCCCAAUGCUGAGCUCAUCCCACAGAUUAAGCUCAUGUAUCCAUCUAUGUCAACCAGUUGUGACUACUUGUCCCUUCCUCUCUGGACUCUUUUGGAGAUCAGCUUACUACCCUUUGGAGAAGCAGCCACUGAGGACUCAUGGGAAAAAAGGGCAGAAGAAACUUCAUGAAACGAGGUGCAGCUGGUGUGGCAUGCUAAAUAAAAAGCUGGGCUCUAGAUUACAUUUCAAGUUGGGGAUCUGCUUUGCUAUAAACCAUCCAGUGUCUUUGGGAAAUUCUCAAUCUUCCCAGCUUUCUUUUUCCUUAUCUGUAAAGUGAGGAAGUUAGACAAGCUUAGAGGUUGACAAACUAAAACCCAAUGGACAAAUCCUGCCAAUGGACAAAU